rnacentral:rRNA from 2 species
AGCGUACACGGUGGAUGCCCUGGCAGUCAGAGGCGAUGAAGGACGUGCUAAUCUGCGAAAAGCGCCGGCGAGGUGAUAUGAACCUUUGACCCGGCGAUGUCCGAAUGGGGAAACCCAGUGUGAUUCGUCACACUAUCGUUAACUGAAUACAUAGGUUAACGAGGCGAACCGGGGGAACUGAAACAUCUAAGUACCCCGAGGAAAAGAAAUCAACCGAGAUUCCCCCAGUAGCGGCGAGCGAACGGGGAGCAGCCCGGAGUCUGAAUCAGCUUGUGUGUUAGUGGAACGGUCUGGAAAGUCCGACGGUACAGGGUGAUAGUCCCGUACACGAAAAUGCACAGGUUGUGAACUCGAAGAGUAGGGCGGGACACGUGGUAUCCUGUCUGAAUAUGGGGGGACCAUCCUCCAAGGCUAAAUACUCCUGACUGACCGAUAGUGAACCAGUACCGUGAGGGAAAGGCGAAAAGAACCCCGGCGAGGGGAGUGAAAAAGAACCUGAAACCGUGUACGUACAAGCAGUGGGAGCCUACUUGUUAGGUGACUGCGUACCUUUUGUAUAAUGGGUCAGCGACUUAUAUUCUGUAGCAAGGUUAACCGUAUAGGGGAGCCGAAGGGAAACCGAGUCUUAACUGGGCGUUAAGUUGCAGGGUAUAGACCCGAAACCCGGUGAUCUAGCCAUGGGCAGGUUGAAGGUUGGGUAACACUAACUGGAGGACCGAACCGACUAAUGUUGAAAAAUUAGCGGAUGACCUGUGGCUGGGGGUGAAAGGCCAAUCAAACCGGGAGAUAGCUGGUUCUCCCCGAAAGCUAUUUAGGUAGCGCCUCGUGAACUCAUCUUCGGGGGUAGAGCACUGUUUCGGCUAGGGGGCCAUCCCGGCUUACCAACCCGAUGCAAACUACGAAUACCGAAGAAUGUUAUCACGGGAGACACACGGCGGGUGCUAACGUCCGUCGUGAAGAGGGAAACAACCCAGACCGCCAGCUAAGGUCCCAAAGUCAUGGUUAAGUGGGAAACGAUGUGGGAAGGCACAGACAGCCAGGAUGUUGGCUUAGAAGCAGCCAUCAUUUAAAGAAAGCGUAAUAGCUCACUGGUCGAGUCGGCCUGCGCGGAAGAUGUAACGGGGCUAAACCAUGCACCGAAGCUGCGGCAGCGACGCUUAUGCGUUGUUGGGUAGGGGAGCGUUCUGUAAGCCGUUGAAGGUGGCCUGUGAGGGUUGCUGGAGGUAUCAGAAGUGCGAAUGCUGACAUAAGUAACGAUAAAGCGGGUGAAAAGCCCGCUCGCCGGAAGACCAAGGGUUCCUGUCCAACGUUAAUCGGGGCAGGGUGAGUCGACCCCUAAGGCGAGGCCGAAAGGCGUAGUCGAUGGGAAACAGGUUAAUAUUCCUGUACUUGGUGUUACUGCGAAGGGGGGACGGAGAAGGCUAUGUUAGCCGGGCGACGGUUGUCCCGGUUUAAGCAUGUAGGCGGAGGUUCCAGGUAAAUCCGGUACCUUUUUAACGCUGAGGUGUGAUGACGAGGCACUACGGUGCUGAAGUAACAAAUGCCCUGCUUCCAGGAAAAGCCUCUAAGCAUCAGGUAACACGAAAUCGUACCCCAAACCGACACAGGUGGUCAGGUAGAGAAUACCAAGGCGCUUGAGAGAACUCGGGUGAAGGAACUAGGCAAAAUGGUGCCGUAACUUCGGGAGAAGGCACGCUGAUAUGUAGGUGAAGCCCCUGCGGGUGGAGCUGAAAUCAGUCGAAGAUACCAGCUGGCUGCAACUGUUUAUUAAAAACACAGCACUGUGCAAACACGAAAGUGGACGUAUACGGUGUGACGCCUGCCCGGUGCCGGAAGGUUAAUUGAUGGGGUUAGCGGUAACGCGAAGCUCUUGAUCGAAGCCCCGGUAAACGGCGGCCGUAACUAUAACGGUCCUAAGGUAGCGAAAUUCCUUGUCGGGUAAGUUCCGACCUGCACGAAUGGCGUAAUGAUGGCCAGGCUGUCUCCACCCGAGACUCAGUGAAAUUGAACUCGCUGUGAAGAUGCAGUGUACCCGCGGCAAGACGGAAAGACCCCGUGAACCUUUACUAUAGCUUGACACUGAACACUGGUCCUUGAUGUGUAGGAUAGGUGGGAGGCUUUGAAGCGUGGACGCCAGUCUGCGUGGAGCCAACCUUGAAAUACCACCCUUUAAUGGCUGGUGUUCUAACGUAGACCCGUGAUCCGGGUUGCGGACAGUGUCUGGUGGGUAGUUUGACUGGGGCGGUCUCCUCCCAAAGAGUAACGGAGGAGCACGAAGGUUAGCUAAUCCUGGUCGGACAUCAGGAGGUUAGUGCAAUGGCAUAAGCUAGCUUGACUGCGAGAGUGACGGCUCGAGCAGGUGCGAAAGCAGGUCAUAGUGAUCCGGUGGUUCUGAAUGGAAGGGCCAUCGCUCAACGGAUAAAAGGUACUCCGGGGAUAACAGGCUGAUACCGCCCAAGAGUUCAUAUCGACGGCGGUGUUUGGCACCUCGAUGUCGGCUCAUCACAUCCUGGGGCUGAAGUAGGUCCCAAGGGUAUGGCUGUUCGCCAUUUAAAGUGGUACGCGAGCUGGGUUUAGAACGUCGUGAGACAGUUCGGUCCCUAUCUGCCGUGGGCGCUGGAGAAUUGAGGGGGGCUGCUCCUAGUACGAGAGGACCGGAGUGGACGCAUCACUGGUGUUCGGGUUGUCAUGCCAAUGGCACUGCCCGGUAGCUAAAUGCGGAAGAGAUAAGUGCUGAAAGCAUCUAAGCACGAAACUUGCCCCGAGAUGAGUUCU